GGAAAGCCCUUCUUUUCAUUUUCAGACCGCAUGUUUUUAAGAGGAAAAAACUCCUUUUCCUUUUCGAUUUUUCUUUCUUUCUUUUUUCGUUUUCUUUUUUUUAUGCCAGCCAGUGAGAGUUGGAGCGAGGGUGAUUGGAUUGGAGAGGACCAAAAAUCAAAUCCUCCUGUUCCUUUUUCUUUUCCUCUUCUUUAUUACCGUUGGAGGUGAG
rnacentral:lncRNA from 1 species